UCUCUCUCGUCUGUCUUUGCAGAGCGUUGACGAACUGGAGCGGAAUGGCGCCCUCCUGUGGGCGGAGGGGCAACUGCAGCGUUCCGUCUACACUGGCUGUUUUGCUCUCUCUCUCUCGUCUGUCUUUGCAGAUCGUUGACGAACUGGUGCGGAACGGCGCCCUCCUGUGGGCGGAGGGGCAACUGCAGCGUUCCGUCUACACUGGCUGUUUUGCUCUCUCUCUCUCGUCUGUCUUUGCAGAUCGUUGACGAACUGGAGCGGAACGGCGCCCUCCUGUGGGCGGAGGGGCAGCGUUCCGUCUCCACUGGCUGUUUUGCUCUCUCUCUCUCAUCUGUCUUUGCAGAUCGUUGACGAACUGGAGCGGAACGGCGCCCUCUUGUGGGCGGAGGGGCAGCGUUCCGUCUCCACUGGCUGUUUUGCUCUCUCUCAUGUCUUUGCAGAUCGUUGAACAACUGGAGCGGAACGGCGCCCUCUUGUGUGCGGAGGACGCAACUGCAGCGUUCAUUCUCCACUGGCUGUUUUGCUCUCUCUCUCCCCCCCGUCUUUGCAGAUCGUUGACGGAGCGGAACGGCGCCCUCCUGUGGGCGGAACGGCAACUGCAGCGUUCCGUCUCCACUGGAUGUUUUGCUCUCUCUCUCUCUCUCGUCUGUCUUUGCAGAUCGUUGACGAACUGGAGCGGAACGGUGCCCUCCUGUGGCAAGAGGGCGCAACUGCAGCGUUCAGUCUCCACUGGAUGCUGCUUUGCUCGGUGACCUCCGAGGUCGUCGAGCAUGUGCCACGUUGGCAGAUUGUGCUGAUUUAGGGCACCUGCGGCGCCCAGGACGCAGUCUACACGAGUAGUGAGCCCGUUUGGCUCUCUGUCGCUGCUUUCCACAGGUGCCCUGUGGCUGAAAAGAAGUUGGAGCAGCAGCUAUCAAUGAGAUUCAGAAGAUCCAGAGAGCGGUGUGAGACUUUUGACCGGAGUGGCUGCAGCGUCCGUUCCAAGAUGGUGAUCCUGAUGUGGUUGGAAAAUUGUGCUGAAGAGGCAACCUGAGGCUAAAGUGUAUUUCAACAGCCACGUAAAUCUGAGCUGACGCUCCAGGUUUCAUUGCAAGUGUUCAUGCACUUGAAAGGAAUUUGAAUGAGUGUAUUUUUUUUGCAGGCUGACAACCACUUGACGAGGGCAUUGAAGUUCCAAGUAAAUUUGAAGAAAAGUCUCACUUCAUCCAAUAAUGUGCAUCCUCUGGCCUCGUGUUUUGAAAUGGCUGUGACAGUUGUAUUCCAAGUAAGUGGUGUAAGCAGGUUGUGAAUUUGUAGUGGUUUUGUUUUUGCAGUUUCCUGAGGACCACUGCUGCGGUGACGUGCCCGGUUAUUGUUGUCAGAGCAGGGGACAAUGGGAAUAGCAUUAACAGGUUCCUGAGCCAGUGGGAGGAGAAGGCACCAGGAGAGCAGACCAGUGAGUAAAUGACAUGGUUGCAAACAGCAUCCUUGUCAUUUGCAAUGUUUGUUUUGAAUAAAGGUUUUUUGG